GCCUGAUUAGUUCAGCUGGAUAGAAUGUCUGCCUACGGAGCAGACGGUCGUAGGUUCGAAUCCUGCAUCGGGUA
rfam:Perkinsus marinus ATCC 50983 gcontig_1104296577412, whole genome shotgun sequence.